UACGUAGGGGGCAAGCGUUGUCCGGAAUCAUUGGGCGUAAAGCGCGUGUAGGCGGCUUUGCAAGUCGGGUGUGAAAGCCCUCAGCUCAACUGAGGAAGUGCGCCCGAAACUGCAGAGCUUGAGUACCGGAGAGGAUAGCGGAAUUCCCCAAGUAGAGGUGAAAUUCGUAGAUAUGGGGAGGAACACCGGUGGCGAAGGCGGCCAUCUGGACGGAUACUGACGCUGAGACGCGAAAGCGUGGGUAGCAAACAGG
rnacentral:rRNA from 1 species